CCCGAAUUCUACAGCCACAGAGCCAUAAUGAGUGCAGCAGACCAGGAAAGUUCAUCAGCCCUGGACCAGAGCUGUGCUUUCUUGGCCAGCAUGAAGUCAACCAGUCCCAUGGCAGUGCGGAGUGACUUACAUGUGGCAGAGGUGUCUGCAGGGCCCUCAGUGGCAGUUACACAGCAUGUUCUGAAAGGACAUCAGCAAGCCAAGGCUCAUGUUGUCCCCCACUACUCAGUUCCCACUCUUCGCAGUCUCUGCAAAGAGUCUUGUCACUUGAUCCUGGUCCACA